rnacentral:rRNA from 1 species
AGAGUUUGAUCAUGGCUCAGGAUGGACGCCGGCGGUGUGCCUAAUACAUGCAAGUCGAACGCGUUGGCCCAACUGAUUGAACGUGCUUGCACGGACUUGACGUUGGUUUACCAGCGAGUGGCGGACGGGUGAGUAACACGUAGGUAACCUGCCCCAAAGCGGGGGAUAACAUUUGGAAACAGAUGCUAAUACCGCAUAACAAUUUGAAUCGCAUGAUUCAAAUUUAAAAGAUGGUUUCGGCUAUCACUUUGGGAUGGACCUGCGGCGCAUUAGCUUGUUGGUAGGGUAACGGCCUACCAAGGCUGUGAUGCGUAGCCGAGUUGAGAGACUGAUCGGCCACAAUGGAACUGAGACACGGUCCAUACUCCUACGGGAGGCAGCAGUAGGGAAUCUUCCACAAUGGGCGCAAGCCUGAUGGAGCAACACCGCGUGAGUGAAGAAGGGUUUCGGCUCGUAAAGCUCUGUUGUUAGAGAAGAACGUGCGUGAGAGCAACUGUUCACGCAGUGACGGUAUCUAACCAGAAAGUCACGGCUAACUACGUGCCAGCAGCCGCGGUAAUACGUAGGUGGCAAGCGUUAUCCGGAUUUAUUGGGCGUAAAGCGAGCGCAGGCGGUUUGAUAAGUCUGAUGUGAAAGCCUUUGGCUUAACCAAAGAAGUGCAUCGGAAACUGUCAGACUUGAGUGCAGAAGAGGACAGUGGAACUCCAUGUGUAGCGGUGGAAUGCGUAGAUAUAUGGAAGAACACCAGUGGCGAAGGCGGCUGUCUGGUCUGCAACUGACGCUGAGGCUCGAAAGCAUGGGUAGCGAACAGGAUUAGAUACCCUGGUAGUCCAUGCCGUAAACGAUGAGUGCUAGGUGUUGGAGGGUUUCCGCCCUUCAGUGCCGCAGCU